GAUGAACGCUGGCGGCGUGCCUAAUACAUGCAAGUCGAGCGAACAGACGAGGAGCUUGCUCCUCUGACGUUAGCGGCGGACGGGUGAGUAACACGUGGAUAACCUACCUAUAAGACUGGGAUAACUUCGGGAAACCGGAGCUAAUACCGGAUAAUAUAUUGAACCGCAUGGUUCAAUAGUGAAAGACGGUUUUGCUGUCACUUAUAGAUUGAUCCUCGCCGCAUUAUCUAGUUGGUAAGGUAACGGCUUACCAAGGCGACGAUGCGUAGCCGACCUGAGAGGGUGAUCGGCCACACUGGAACUGAGACACGGUCCAGACUCCUACGGGAGGCAGCAGUAGGGAAUCUUCCGCAAUGGGCGAAAGCCUGACGGAGCAACGCCGGGUGAGUGAUGAAGGUCUUAGGAUCGUAAAACUCUGUUAUUAGGGAAGAACAAAUGUGUAAGUAACUAUGCACGUCUUGACGGUACCUAAUCAGAAAGCCACGGCUAACUACGUG
rnacentral:rRNA from 1 species